CAGCCAUAUCACAUUGAAACCCCGGUUUUCAUACGAUCACCGAAGUUAAGCAACGGCGAACCUUGUCAGUACCUAGAUGGUUGACCGUUUUGGAAGACUAAGUGCUGUAAG